rnacentral:rRNA from 1 species
CGCUGACUUCAGGGUAGCAAUAUUCUGAAGUCGGAGUGGCGCAAGGGUGCGUAACACGUGGGUAAUUUGCCGUGAAGAUUGGGAUAACUUGCUGAAAGGCGAGCUAAUACCGAAUGUGAUCAGAACGAGGCAUCUCGAACGGAUCAAAGUUGGGGACCGUAAGGCCUGACGCUUCACGAUAAGCCCGCGGCCUAUCAGCUAGUUGGUGAGGUAAUGGCUCACCAAGGCUAAGACGGGUAGCUGGUCUGAGAGGACGACCAGCCUCACUGGAACUGAGACACGGUCCAGACACCUACGGGUGGCAGCAGUCGAGAAUUUUUCUCAAUGGGCGAAAGCCUGAAGGAGCGACGCCGCGUGGGGGAUGAAUGGCUUCGGCCCGUAAACCCCUGUCAUUUGCGAACAAACCUUUCGACCUAAUACGUCGAGAAUUGAUUGUAGCGGAAGAGGAAGGGACGGCUAACUCUGUGCCAGCAGCCGCGGUAAUACAGAGGUCCCAAGCGUUGUUCGGAUUCACUGGGCGUAAAGGGUGCGUAGGUGGUCGGGUAAGUCUGAUGUGAAAUCUCCGAGCUUAACUCGGAAAUGGCAUUGGAUACUAUUCGGCUAGAGGAUUGGAGGGGGGACUGGAAUUCUCGGUGUAGCAGUGAAAUGCGUAGAUAUCGAGAGGAACACCAGUGGCGAAGGCGAGUCCCUGGACAACUCCUGACACUGAGGCACGAAAGCUAGGGGAGCAAACAGGAUUAGAUACCCUGGUAGUCCUAGCCGUAAACGGUGCGUAUUUGCUGUAAAAGGAAUCGACCCCUUUUGUGGCGUAGCUAACGCGUUAAAUACGCCGCCUGGGAAGUACGGUCGCAAGAUUAAAACUCAAAGAAAUUGACGGGGGCCUGCACAAGCGGUGGAGUAUGUGGCUUAAUUCGAUGCAACGCGAAGAACCUUACCUGGUCUUGACAUGUAGGUGGUAGAAACCUGAAAGGGUGACGACCCCGCA